UAUGCGACGUUACUGAGAUCGGGCAGGGCGAGGCGGCCAUGGCCCCGGCUCCGGCCCCGGCCCCGGCUCCGGCCCCAGCUCCGGCCCCGGCCCCGACGGCGGAGGCGGCGGCCACCCCCUACGUGGGGCUGCGGCGGCCCCUGGGCUACCAGCUGGCCAAGGCCACCAAGGAGCGCAUCUGGCGGGGGGAGUUCAUUGACCUGUUUUCCUUGCUCCACACAGAGCUGGCCCCCGAGCACGGCCCGCGGCCGGGGGACACGCUGGACCAGUGGGUCUCCGCCUUCCUGGUGUACGCCAGCGUGGUGUGCGAGAAGCACCCGGCGCGCUGCGGGGCCAUGUUCAAGUACCUGGACACCAUCCGCAAGCUGCACGCCACCUACGGGGGCACCUCGUGGAUGAGCUACGACGAGGACUUUCGGCGGCGGGCGGCCAAGGACCCCAACCUGCCCUGGGGCGACGUCGACCUGGACCUCUGGAUGAAGUGGAUGGCGCCCCUCAAGUCGCUCAUCAGCAGGCACCACCGUGCUGAGAGCGAGCCGCAGGCCGCGCCGCCACCACCGCUGCCGCCACCAUCCUCGUCGUCGUCCCAGAGCCCCAAGCAGGAGGAGAAAAGCCAGACUCCAUGAAAACAGAAGGCCAGUUGGAAUGGCAGUCAGACUAAGUGGGUUUCUUCGGUUCCCAGCAACUCGCUACUGCAUGGAUGCGUGUAUGGCAUUGGCACUGGGUGAAUCCUGCCCUUACAGCUCCUGAGGUUGUCAUGUCCUUGUUGAGUCAGCGUGCUGGCUGUGCUGAAGGGGUGACGCAGGACCACGGAUCUUCUGUUCAUCAUUGAUUCAUGAGUAGAUUUCUUCUGGUGAUUGCAGGCGAAGCUUGCUGUCACUUACAUGAUACGUCAGACAGCAUGGAGGCGCUGAUAUCUGCUGCCUGAAAGCAGAUGUUGAAGAUAACCAUUUAACUGAGUGACGAGUGAAGACACAGCACACAGUAG
rnacentral:lncRNA from 1 species